rnacentral:rRNA from 1 species
AGAGUUUGAUCAUGGCUCAGAUUGAACGCUGGCGGCAGGCCUAACACAUGCAAGUCGAACGGAAACAUGUCUAGCUUGCUAGAUGAUGUCGAGUGGCGGACGGGUGAGUAAUACUUAGGAACAUGCCUUUGGGUGGGGGAUAACUAUUGGAAACGAUAGCUAAUACCGCAUAACGUCUACGGACCAAAGGGGGCGCUUGCGCUCUCGCCUAAAGAGUGGCCUAAGCGAGAUUAGCUUGUUGGUGAGGUAAAGGCUCACCAAGGCGACGAUCUCUAGCUGUUCUGAGAGGAAGAUCAGCCACACUGGGACUGAGACACGGCCCAGACUCCUACGGGAGGCAGCAGUGGGGAAUAUUGCACAAUGGAGGAAACUCUGAUGCAGCCAUGCCGCGUGUGUGAAGAAGGCCUUCGGGUUGUAAAGCACUUUCAGUUGUGAGGAAAGGUUGGUGGUUAAUACCCAUUAGCUAUGACGUUAGCAACAGAAGAAGGACCGGCUAACUCCGUGCCAGCAGCCGCGGUAAUACGGAGGGUCCGAGCGUUAAUCGGAAUUACUGGGCGUAAAGCGCACGCAGGCGGUUUGUUAAGCUAGAUGUGAAAGCCCCGGGCUCAACCUGGGAAUAGCAUUUAGAACUGGCAGACUAGAGUCUUGGAGAGGGGAGUGGAAUUUCUGGUGUAGCGGUGAAAUGCGUAGAUAUCAGAAGGAACAUCAGUGGCGAAGGCGACUCCCUGGCCAAAGACUGACGCUCAUGUGCGAAAGUGUGGGUAGCGAACAGGAUUAGAUACCCUGGUAGUCCACACCGUAAACGCUGUCUACUAGCUGUUUGUGGAUUUAAUCCGUGGGUAGCGAAGCUAACGCGAUAAGUAGACCGCCUGGGGAGUACGGCCGCAAGGUUAAAACUCAAAUGAAUUGACGGGGGCCCGCACAAGCGGUGGAGCAUGUGGUUUAAUUCGAUGCAAC